rnacentral:rRNA from 1 species
CCUACGGGGGGCAGCAGUGAGGAAUAUUGGUCAAUGGGCGAGAGCCUGAACCAGCCAAGUCGCGUGAAGGAUGACGGCCCUACGGGUUGUAAACUUCUUUUGUCAGGGAGCAAUUGGGUCCACGCGUGGGCUUAGCGAGAGUACCUGAAGAAAAAGCAUCGGCUAACCCCGUGCCAGCAGCCGCGGUAUUACGGAGGAUGCGAGCGUUAUCCGGAUUUAUUGGGUUUAAAGGUUGCGUAGGCGGAAUAUAAAGUCAGCGGUAAAAAUUCGGGGCUAAACCCCGUCGUGCCGUUGAAACUGAUGGUCUUGAGUGGGCGAGAAGGAUGCGGAAUGCGUGGUGUAGCGGUGAAAUGCAUAGAUAUCACGCAGAACUCCGAUUGCGAAGGCAGCAUACCGGCGCCCAACUGACGCUGAAGCACGAAAGCGUGGGUAUCGAACAGGAUUAGAUACCCGGGUAGUC